GGCCUGCUAGCUCAGUCGGUUAGAGCGUCGUGCUAAUAACGCGAAGGUCGUAGGUUCGAUCCCUGCCCAGGCCA
rnacentral:tRNA from 1 species